UACGGAGGGUGCAAGCGUUAUACGGAUUCACUGGGUUUAAAGGGUGCGUAGGCGGCUUUGUAAGUCAGUGGUGAAAUAUGGCAGCUCAACUGUCAGGGUGCCAUUGAUACUGCGGAGCUUGAGUACAGAUGAGGUAGGCGGAAUUGACGGUGUAGCGGUGAAAUGCUUAGAUAUCGUCAAGAACACCGAUAGCGAAGGCAGCUUACUGGGCUGUAACUGACGCUGAGGCACGAAAGUGUGGGGAUCAAACAGG
rnacentral:rRNA from 1 species